rnacentral:misc_RNA from 1 species
GAAAUGCGAUAAGUAAUGUGAAUUGCAGAAUUCAGUGAAUCAUCGAAUCUUUGAACGCACAUUGCGCCCAUUAGUAUUCUAAUGGGCAUGCCUGUUCGAGCGUCAUUUCAACCCUCAAGCCUUAGUUGCUUGGUGUUGGGAGCUUAUCCUGCCGCAAGGCGGGACAACUCCUUAAAUUUAUUGGCGGAGUCGCGGUGACCCCAAGCGCAGUAAUUCCUUUUCUCGCUUUAGGUGUUAACGCUGGCUUCUAGCCAUUAAACCCUCUAAUUUCUCAAUGGUUGACCUCGGAUCAGGUAGGACUACCCGCUGAACUUAA